ACAGCAGUAGCCGCGGUAAAACGGAGGGUGCAAGCGUUAAUCGGAAUUACUGGGCGUAAAGCGCACGCAGGCGGUCUGACAAGUCAGAUGUGAAAUCCCCGGGCUUAACCUGGGAACUGCAUUUGAAACUGUCAGGCUGGAGUCUUGUAGAGGGGGGUGGAAUUCCAGGUGUAGCGGUGAAAUGCGUAGAGAUCUGGAGGAAUACCGGUGGCGAAGGCGGCCCCCUGGACAAAGACUGACGCUCAGGUGCGAAAGCGUGGGGAGCAAACAGGAUUAGAUACCCCGGUAGUCCCUGUCUCUUAUAC
rnacentral:rRNA from 1 species